rnacentral:rRNA from 1 species
ACGGAGGGUGCGAGCGUUAAUCGGAAUGACUGGGCGUAAAGGGUGCGUAGGCGGUACUGUCAGUCAGCCGUGAAAUACCUGGGCUUAACCUAGGAAUUGCGGUUGAGACGGCAGAACUAGAGUGUGCUAGAGGACUGUGGAAUUCCUGGUGUAGCGGUGAAAUGCGUAGAGAUCAGGAGGAACACCGAUGGCGAAGGCAGUAGUCUGGGGCAACACUGACGCUGAGGCACGAAGGCGUGGGGAGCAAACAG